CCUACGGGUGGCAGCAGUGAGGAAUAUUGGUCAAUGGACGAAAGUCUGAACCAGCCAAGUCGCGUGAAGGAUGACUGCCCUAUGAGUUGUAAACUUCUUUUAUAUGGGGAUAAAAUGUUCCACGUGUGGGGUUUUGUAUGUACCAUAUGAAUAAGGAUCGGCUAACUCCGUGCCAGCAGCCGCGGUAAUACGGAGGAUCCGAGCGUUAUCCGGAUUUAUUGGGUUUAAAGGGUGCGUAGGUGGAUUGUUAAGUCAGUUGUGAAAUUUUGCGGCUCAACCGUAGAAUUGCAGUUGAUACCGGCAGUCUUGAGUACAGUAGAGGUGGGCGGAAUUCGUGGUGUAGCGGUGAAAUGCUUAGAUAUCACGAAGAACUCCGAUUGCGAAGGCAGCUUACUGGACUGCAACUGACACUGAGGCUCGAAAGUGUGGGUAUCAAACAGGAUUAGAUACCCUGGUAGUC
rnacentral:rRNA from 1 species